AUGCAUGAGUAUAAGCUAAUCAUUCUUAGCCCAGGAGGCGUUGGAAAGUCUGCUUUGAAUGUACAAUUUGUUCAAGGAAUUUUUGUUGAAAAAUAUGAUCCUAUGAUAGAAGAUUCUUAUAGAAAGCAAGUUGAAGUAGAUGCACAACAGUGUAUGCUUGCAAUCUUGGAUACUGCAGGAACGGAACAAUUUAUAGCGAGGAGGGAUUUGUACAUGAGAAAUGGACAAGGCUUUGCAUUAGUUUAUUCCAUCACAGCACAGUCCACAUUUAAUGAUUUGAAAGACUUGAGAGAACAGAUUCUUCCAGUUAAAGACACUGAUGAUGUUCCAGUGAUUAUUGUUGGUAAUAAGUAGGAUUGGAAGAUGAAAGAGUUGUAGGGAAGGAACAAGGUCAAAAUCUAGCAAGACAAUGGAACAACUGUGCAUUCUUAGAUUCUUCUACAAAAUCAAAAAUAAAUGUUAAUGGGAUCUUUUAUAACCUAGUGCGGCAGAUUAACAGAAAAACUCCAGUGCCUGGGAAGGCUCGCAAAAAGUCAUCAUGUCAGCUGCUUUAAUGUACUAAGUGAAUUGCAGCUCUGAGUCAGGUCUGAAGAACUGUUGUCCAAUUCAACAGUGCCAACAUUCCAACUUUGUUAAACCUACCAACAUCUUAAAUGGACUUUCCUGUGGUGGUACCCUUUAAGAGGCAGAUGAAAGCUACUAUAUCAGUUUGCACAUUCUAAUCACUUUUCAGUAUCACAAGAGAGAUUUUUACUUAUA